rnacentral:rRNA from 1 species
UACGUAGGAGGCAAGCGUUGUCCGGAUUUACUGGGCGUAAAGAGCGCGCAGGCGGCUGGUCAAGUCCGAUGUGAAAUCUCCCGGCUUAACUGGGAAACUGCAUCGGAAACUGAUCGGCUUGAAGGUGGGAGAGGGUAGUGGAAUUCCCGGUGUAGUGGUGAAAUGCGUAGAUAUUCGGAAGAACACCAGUGGCGAAGGCGACUUACUGGACACAUAUUGACGCUGAGGUGCGAAAGCGUGGGGAGCAAACAGG